UUAAUUGCUUAGUGCUAACUACUUUUAAAAUUAGAACUUUGACUUUUUGAAAUCCUUAGAUAUAGUCUCUAAAAGUAAUUGAUAAGUAUAAUCCUAACUGGAGACAGAGAAGGUGUCAUUUGGCUUUUUUCAUUGCCCUGAUAAACUUGCUGUUUGUUCUCUUCCUAGUACUCUUGUCCAUCUGUUCUCUGUUGUGUGAUCCCAAUCCAGAUGAUCCUUUAGUGCCUGAGAUUGCACGGAUCUACAAAACAGAUAGAGAAAAGUACAACAGAAUAGCUCGGGAAUGGACUCAGAAGUAUGCGAUGUAAUUAAAGAAAUUAUUGGAUAACCUCUACAAAUAAAGAUAGGGGAACUCUGAAAGAGAAAGUCCUUUUGAUUUCCAUUUGACUGCUUUCUAUGAGCCCACGCCUCAUCUUCCCCUGUGCACAUGUUUACCUGAUACAGCAGUGCUGCGUGUUGUACAUACUUGGAACAACAAAAUAGAAAUACUGUAUUUCCCGUACCAACAUUGACUCCUAGCAAAGAAGUGUGUGUGUGAAAAGCCAGUUCUUCAGUCAUAACCUAGUUGUGAGACUAAAAGCUUUCCUUAUUGACUUAAUUGGAUAAACAAUGCAAGGGCAGGGGUGGGUGUUGUGUGGUUUGGGGUGGGGGAGGACAGUUAUACUGACCUGUGGGAGAAUUUUUUAAAAAAGCGGAAUCCUUUUAAACUCAUAACAGUUAUGAAAAGCAAGGUGAAGAACGUCAAGCUGUUUCUGUAUUCAUUUUAUUCUGAAGGACCUACAUCUUAGGUAAAUGUUUCGACCAACAAGAUUAAACUAUACCCACAUCCUGUAUUUUAAGGUCUAAGUUUAACUGGUCAACAUUUAAAUGGAUUGGAGCUAUUAGUACAUAAAGUGAUGGGUGUUUUUUUUUCCAGCUCUUCUCCAUCACCCCCUUCUCCCCCCAAUACUUUUUGGUUUGUAUGUGGUUUCUCAGUUAAUACAUAGCUAAUAGCUCUUAAUUUUUCUUAUGUUUUUUAACUGCUUAGGUCUAUCUGGAUGUAAGGGUAAAAAUUCAUUUGACAGAAAUACUUGUGUAUAUUUAAAGACCCAAUUGCUCCUCUGGAGCUUGUACGUUCAAGAAUGAUUAAUCUGUGUAAUAAACUGAUUACUACAGUCAUUACAUAUAAUUUUGUGUGAAUAGGCUUUUUUAAUUUCCAGAACAGUUUGUCUAGCUGAGAUUAGUGGUGGAUUCCACACCCUCCUGUCCCCACCCCCAACUUCUGCAUUCAGACCAGUUACAUUUCAAAAUCAUGAAACAAUCACAGGUGACAUUGUGAAAGGCUAUGUGUUAAAGUAAUUUGACCAACUAAAAUAGGAACAUAAGCUUAAAGGCACCUCAAUAAGAUUUAAGCGUGUAGUGUGCAAGGAACAUGACUGUUAAACAAAAUAAGAGGUUUACUUUAUUAAUGAGAAUCUUAAGCAACACGUCAUGAGCCCAUGUGUGGGAUAUAAGACACAAAUGCAUUUAUAUUGUUAGUAAGUUAACCUCUGUAACUAAAUAUCAAAUGUAUAAAGGGUAAAAUUUAACAAACCUGAAAGGCGUCAGCACAACUUCAUAAUGAAGAAAUCUACAUUAUUACUUUGCACUAACAUUUGCAAGAUGUUCAUCCAGUUUAAAAUUGUACUUGUAUGUGGCUUUUUGAGUCUUCACUUGACUAGUAAAAAGAUGUAGUUGGAAACUUUAUUUGUUAACCAGUGUCUUUGCCAGAAACCUUCAUGUGAACUAGGUGAGUUAUAAGGUUUUUUUUCCCUGAUCUAAUCAACACCUUUAGACUUGAGGUUUGGUCCUAUCCAUCUUCCAAAUGCAUCUCUACUCUCUUGCACAAAAACUGAGGAAUAAAUGUCCACUGCUUUUGGUUUAAAUUUG